CCCAGACUCCUACGGGAGGCAGCAGUGAGGAAUAUUGGUCAAUGGGCGGAAGCCUGAACCAGCCAAGUCGCGUGAGGGAAGAAGGCCCUGCGGGUCGCAGACCUCUUUGGACGGGGAGCAAGGCCGCCGACGUGUCGGCGGAAGGAGAGUACCCGUAGAACAAGCAUCGGCUAACUCCGUGCCAGCAGCCGCGGUAAUACGGAGGAUGCGAGCGUUAUCCGGAUUUAUUGGGUUUAAAGGGUGCGUAGGCGGAUGGUUAGGUCGGGGUUAAAAGCCGGGGCCCCAACCCCGGCGAGCCGUUGAAACUGGCUGUCUUGAGAUGUCGAGAGGUAUGCGGAAUGCGCAGUGUAGCGGUGAAAUGCUUAGAUAUUGCGCAGAACUCCGAUUGCGAAGGCAGCAUACCGGCGGCGAUCUGACGCUGAGGCACGAAAGCGUGGGUAUCGAACAGGAUUAGAUACCCUAGUA
rnacentral:rRNA from 1 species